UAGUCAGUUAUGAUUCAGAAGUGUAUAUGUUAUAAUCAGUUAUUAUUCACAAGUGUGUGUGUUAUAGUCAGUUGCCAUUCAAAGGUGUGAGUGUUAUAGUCAGUUGAUUGAGAUGUGUUUGUUAUAAUCAGUUAUGGUUCAGAAGUAUAUGUGUUAUAAUCAUUUAUGAUUAAGAAGUGUCUGUGUUAUAGUUAGUUGUGAUUCAGAAAUACGUGUAUUAUAGUCAGUUAUGAUUCAGAAGU